rnacentral:rRNA from 1 species
UACGUAGGUGGCAAGCGUUGUCCGGAAUUAUUGGGCGUAAAGCGCGCGCAGGCGGAUCAGUCAGUCUGUCUUAAAAGUUCGGGGCUUAACCCCGUGAUGGGAUGGAAACUGCUGAUCUAGAGUAUCGGAGAGGAAAGUGGAAUUCCUAGUGUAGCGGUGAAAUGCGUAGAUAUUAGGAAGAACACCAGUGGCGAAGGCGACUUUCUGGACGAAAACUGACGCUGAGGCGCGAAAGCCAGGGGAGCGAACGG